GGGAAACAGAUUGAGGGGCCAGCCCCAGGCCCCAACGACAAUUGGGGCA
rfam:Ovis aries breed Texel chromosome 5, whole genome shotgun sequence.